rnacentral:rRNA from 1 species
AUGUGGCUCGGCUUAGAAAGAUACUACUCCAUCCGAUUCAAAUUAAUCGAUGCUGCUUUAGUACAACUUUACAGUAAAAAAACGACCUUCGCAUCCGAUCCAGCCCCCGUCGAUGGCGCUCUAGGCUCGCCCGCCGCCACCCUGUCGCCGGCCCCGUCGCUCCCCCGCCCUAUCGCCGGCCGCGUCCCUCCCCCGCCCCGUCGCCGUCGCUCCGCCGCCCCGCCGGCCGCCGCCGGCGCCAAGCCCCCGAGAGACGCCACGACCUCCACCGAGCAGGAGCAGCAGCUCGCCUCCUCGUGGCGCGGCGCCUACGAGGAGCCGUCGCCGUCACCAUCGGUGUCCUCGACGGAGGAGCAAGAUCCCGCGGCGCUGCGCGUGGGGAUCAUCGGGUUCGGCAACUUCGGGCAGUUCAUCGCCAGGGGCAUCCAGCGGCAGGGCCACGCCGUGCUGGCCACCUCCAGAUCCGACUACUCCGACUACUGCUCCGCCCACGGGAUUCGCUUCUUCAGAAGCUUGGAGGCGCUGUGCGAGGAGCAGCCGGACGUGCUGCUGGUUUGCAGCUCCAUCCUCUCCACGGAGUCCGUCAUCCGUGCCAUCCCCCUCGCCAAGCUCCGCCCCGACACCAUCGUCGCCGACGUGCUCUCUGUCAAGCAGUUCCCCUGCAACCUCCUCCUCGAGACUCCUUUCAGCAAAACCAAAUUGAAUAGUUGGCUUAGCAUAGUAAUCAUAGAAGCAAUGCCCUGCGGUCAGAAGGUUGAACCGGAACCAAGACGCAGUGCAUGUCAGAGCUCCAACCCUCCUAGUAUCAUAACCAUCUAUGCUUCUUGUACUGAUGCAGGAAAUUGGAUAGCGUAA